rnacentral:ncRNA from 2 species
CUCAAUCUCUCGGGGUGCUACUUAUCAAUAAGAUAAAAAGCUGAGAUAACCCGUCGAACUUGAACUGGAUAAUACCAGCGUAGGGAAGAGAAUCGUAUAUCAU